rnacentral:sRNA from 1 species
UUUUUUUUUUUUUUUUUUUUUUUUUUUUUUUGCCAAGAUUCAGGACUUGUUGAAAGAGUUAUUACAACUACCACUAUAACUAUAACUACNACUAUAACUACNACGAUAAGAACUAUCACUACUCUGAAGACAACGAUGNGUUUUCUCAAGAUGAUAACGGAUCUAGCUUCNCCAUCAAUAAGUAUGAGACAAAGGAGUCCAUCUUUGAUGAAACAUCCAUUUUCCUGNUGNACAUUUUUGCAGGACAACUAGCCUGAGCACAAGANACAUGGNGNACUANACCUUGNGCGGAAUGNCUACUUCAAAACUUGCAUCUUUAUAUCUGAUAUAUAGAGAUAUAGAGAUAUAGAGAUAUAGAGAGAGGNUGAUGAUUUAUAAACACAAACGAUAAGACUUGNAACAUGAAGUUUAUCGAAAAAGUCAAUCUUUAAAUUCCUUUCUGAACCUCUCUGNUAUGNCAGUGCUUCGGNACCAUGCUUUUAGUGNGGNCAUUUAAAGGCAUAGCGAUGAUAGUUCUAAAGUUACUGNAUUGAUCAAUUGGAAGAACAUCCAAAUAAAAAAAAGCAUGCAAAAUGCUAGUAUUAUCAGUAACUGCNAAUAAAAAAAGAUAACNAAAAUUUACAGGAUCAUCGAGAAGAGUAGAUACUGAUAAUAUUGAGAUCCACAGCACUCNACAACAGGUCUUGGGAUUUAUUUAGCCAUUUGCUUAACUUACUGNCUCAACAAUAUUGUUGUUUGGGCAUCGCCAUNAAUAUAUGACCUAGAAGUAAAANUCGNGGNGUCGAAACAA